rnacentral:rRNA from 1 species
AGAGUUUGAUCCUGGCUCAGAUUGAACGCUGGCGGCAUGCCUUACACAUGCAAGUCGAACGGUAGACACGGGAGGCCAGACCCCGGCUGACGAGUGGCGAACGGGUGAGUAAUAUAUCGGAACGUAUCCUGGUAGUGGGGGAUAACUACGGUCGAAAGCACUGAAUCUAAUAACCGCAUACGCAUCUACGGAUGAAAGGUGGGGGACUCUCAAGACCUCUUGCUACCUAGGAGCGGCCGAUAGUCUGAUUAGCUAGUUGGUGGAGGUAAAGGCUCACCAAGGCAAUCGAUCAGUAGCUGGUCUGAGAGGACGACCAGCCACACUGGGACUGAGACACGGCCCAGACUCCUACGGGAGGCAGCAGUGGGGAAUUUUGGACAAUGGGGGCAACCCUGAUCCAGCAAUGCCGCGUGAGUGAAGAAGGCCUUCGGGUUGUAA